rnacentral:rRNA from 1 species
CCUAAUACAUGCAAGAUCGAGACGGACGGUAUGGGAGACUUGCUCCCUGAAGUCAGCGGCGGACGGGUGAGUAACACGUGGGCAACCUGCCUGUAAGACUGGGAUAACUCCUGGAAACCGGGGCUAAUACCGGAUAAUGCAUUUCCCCUCAUGGGGAUAUGCUGAAAGAUGGCUUCGGCUAUCACUUACAGAUGGGCCCGCGGCGCAUUAUCUAGUUGGUGAGGUAACGGCUCACCAAGGCAACGAUGCGUACCCGACCUGAGAGGGUGAUCGGCCACACUGGGACUGAGACACGGCCCAGACUCCUACGGGAGGCAGCAGUUUGGGAAUCUUCCGCAAUGGACGAAAGUCUGACGGACCAACGCCGCGUGAGUGAUGAAGGUUUUCGGAUCGUAAAACUUUGUUGUCAGGGAAGAACAAGUGCCGGAGUAACUGCCGGBACCUUGACGGUACCUGACCACAAAGCCNCGGCUAACUACCUGCCAACACGCCGCGGUAAUACCUAAGUGGCAAGCGUUGUCCCGAAUUAUUGGGCGUAAAGCGCGCGCAGGCGGUCUCUUAA